UACGUGACAGGAAUUGGGUCAAAACAGGUUGUCCUUUUUUGAUUGACAGGUGGUCUGUAGUGAUUUGAGAUUGGAUUUUGGUUCCAUUGACUUUGUUGGGAAAAUGGGGUAGGUGGUGGUUGAUAAAAAGGUGGUCUUGAAGGGUGAUAUUGAGGGUAUGAAGCUUGUGUGGUUGCAGCCACAUAUGGAUAAGGAAUGUAAGGAGUUUGUGAUAUUGGGGGCUGGAAGUUUGGGGGUCGAUAAGAAUUGAUGGGUGGAAAAUAGGAGACUCUGGGGUUUACCAUUACAGCAUUAGCGUCCC
rnacentral:lncRNA from 1 species